AACGCUGGCGGCGCGCUUAACACAUGCAAGUCGAGCGAGAACCAGUCCUUCGGGACUGGGGACAGCGGCGAACGGGUGAGUAACACGUGGGUAAUCUGCCCUCGAUUCUGGGAUAGCCCGGGGAAACCCGGAUUAAUACCGGAUAGCCUCGCUGGUCUUCGGGCCGGCGAGAAAAGGUAGCUUCGGCCUCCGAUCGAGGAUGAGCCCGCGGCGGAUUAGCUUGUUGGUGGGGUAACGGCCUACCAAGGCGACGAUCCGUAGCUGGUCUGAGGGGACGAUCAGCCACACGGGGACUGAGACACGGCCCAGACUCCUACGGGAGGCAGCAGUGGGGAAUCUUGCGCAAUGGGCGAAAGCCUGACGCAGCGACGCCGCGUGGGGGAAGAAGGCCUUCGGGUUGUAAACCUCUUUCAGCAGGGACGAAGCCACUCGGGUGAAUAGCCCAGAGGGUGACGGUACCUGCAGAAGAAGCCCCGGCUAACUACGUGCCAGCAGCCGCCGUAAAAC
rnacentral:rRNA from 1 species